AGUGAACGCUGGCGGCGUGCCUAAUACAUGAAAGUCGAACGAAGUGGCGCACGGGUGAGUAAUAUAUAGUUAAUCUGCCCUACACAGAGGAACAACAGUUGGAAACGACUGCUAAUACCUCAUAGUGUAGGAUGAGACUAUAUCGUAUCAGCUAGUUGGUAAGGUAAUGGCUUACCAAGGCUAUGACGCGUAACUGAUCUGAGAGGAUGAUCAGUCACGUUGUAAGUGUGAUACGGUCAAAGCUACUACGGGAGGCAGCAGUAAAGGAGAUUGCGCAAAGAGGGAAACCGUGAGGCAGCAUCGCCGCGAGGAGGAUGACACGUUGCGGAGCGUAAACUCCUUGGAUCGGGAAAGAGGUGCCUAAGGAAUAAGCGCCGGCUAACGCCGUGCCAUCAGGCGCGGUAAUAC
rnacentral:rRNA from 1 species